rnacentral:rRNA from 1 species
AGGCAGUCCUAAAUUCCCUAAAGGCACUAGAUCCUGUUUGAUCUUGGAAGCUUAGUGGGGUCAUCCUGAUUAGUUCUUGGAUGGGAGACUGCCAAUGAAUACCAGGUGUUAUAUUUU